rnacentral:rRNA from 1 species
AGUGAACGCUGGCGGCGUGCUUAACACAUGCAAGUCGAACGAGAACGGAUUAUAGCUUGCUAUAAUUGUCAGCUAAGUGGCGCACGGGUGAGUAAUGUAUAGGUAAUAUGCCUCUUACUAAGGGAUAACAAAUGGAAACGUUUGCUAAUACCUUAUACUCCUUAUUAACAGAAGUUAAUAAGGGAAAGAUUUAUUGGUAAGAGAUUAGCCUGUAUUGUAUCAGUUAGUUGGUGGGGUAAUGGCUUACCAAGACUAUGACACAUAACUGGUUUGAGAGGAUGAUCAGUCACACUGGAACUGAGACACGGUCCAGACUCCUACGGGAGGCAGCAGUGGGGAAUAGUGCACAAUGGACGAAAGUCUGAUGCAGCAACGCCGCGUGGAGGAUGACACAUUUCGGUGCGUAAACUCCUUUUAUAUGGGAAGAUAAUGACGGUAUUAUAUGAAUAAGCACCGGCUAACUCCGUGCCAGCAGCCGCAGUAA